rnacentral:tRNA from 1 species
GGCCCUGUGGCGCAAUGGAUAGCGCAUUGGACUUCUAAUUCAAAUGUUGUGGGUUCAAGCCCCACAAGGGUCA